UCAUGUUGAAACAUUUGUUCCCAUAUGAUCACCAAAGUUAAGCAACAUUAAGUCUGGUCAGUACCUAGAUGGGUGCCUGCUUGGGAAUACCUGGUGCU
rnacentral:rRNA from 1 species